CACACCAGCACGACGAGGCUCGCGAUCACUUUGCCGCCAGCAAACCC
rnacentral:ribozyme from 1 species